CUUGUCUUUGCUACUGUGGUAAGCUGACCUAAGUUAUGUUACUCCAGCUAUGUGAAUAAUGUAACUGGAGUUGUCACACCUCUGUGU